rnacentral:misc_RNA from 1 species
AAUAAAUAAAAAAUAAAUUAAGCUGACGCAAAACAUGCAGUUCUUGAACUUGGUGACAAAAACAUCAGAGAGAGGAAGGAAAAUAAGCAUAAAUGAUGAGAGACAGAGAGCUGCGUGGCCUAUUUUAUAGGUGAUGUGCUUUCUCUUCUUUUAAGCCUCAACCCAAAAUAAACCAAAAUAUUACAGAGGACGCAUUCCUUCUUUUCUUUUCCACAUCUCUCUAUAAGAGAUAAACAAGUAGUAGAAGAGCUUUCAGUUUCAGACUAUUAGCUUUAUUAAUCUCAAAGAUAUUUGUAUUUAGUCUGUGUCUGUGACCCUACUGGCCUACCCACAAUCACAAACACUAUCAAGAAGAUGAUGUUUCCCCACAUACACAGACAGCUCCGCUGUUUUGCCCACUUAUAGAUGCAUACUUGGUAGAUCUGUAGACGAAGGAGAGAGAGAGAGAGAGGGUUUUGAAGAGAGAGAAUAAGAA